AAGGAAACUGCCGAUGAUAAGUCGGAGGAAGGUGUGGAUGACGUCAAGUCCUCAUGGCCCUUACGGGUUGGGCUACACACGUGCUACAAUGGCAGUGACAAUGGGUUAAUCCCUAAAGACUGUCUCAGUUCGGAUUGUUCUCUGCAACUCGAGAGCAUGAAGUCGGAAUCGCUAGUAAUCGCGUAACAGCAUGACGCGGUGAAUACGUUCCCGGGCCUUGUACACACCGCCCGUCACACCAUGGGAGUUGGUUUUACCUGACGACGCUGCGCUAACCUUCGGGGGGCAGGCGGCCACGGUAGGAUCAGCGACUGGGGUGAAGUCGUAACAAGGUAACA
rnacentral:rRNA from 1 species